GCAGGGACACCCUGCACCUGCCCGAUUCCAGGACAGAGGGAGCUCAUCAGUUUUCUUUUCCCAUCAGGCCACCAUCAUGGGAGGGCUUUAAUGCAUUGGCCGAGCUAGAAGAGAGACACAGGCACUGGGAUGCCAGUGAGUGCCUUUGUCCAGGAGGCAGGCAGGAGGCAGAGGAGGAGGGGCCCUGGGAACUGCUCCUGUGCUCCUCCUGUGCUGCCGAGGGCACCCACAGACACUGCUCUGGCCUGGGGACAGCAGAACCAGAUGGGAAUGUGAUGGCUGUGCAGUCCCAGGCACAGGUAAAAGGCAAAGCACCCUGCCUCCAGUUAAGACCCAGAGC